rnacentral:rRNA from 1 species
UGGGGAAUAUUGGACAAUGGGCGAAAUCCUGAUCCAGCCCUGCCGCGUGUGUGAAGAAGGUCUUCGGAUUGUAAAGCACUCUAAGUUGGGAGGAAGGGCAGUAAGCGAAUACCUUGCUGUUUUGACGUUACCGACAGAAUAAGCACCGGCUAACUCUGUGCCAGCAGCCGCGGGAAUACAGAGGGUGCAAGCGUUAAUCGGAAUUACUGGGCGUAAAGCGCGCGUAGGUGGUUCGUUAAGUUGAAUGUGAAAGCCCCGGGCUCAACAUGGGAACAGCAUCCAAAACAGGCGAGAUGGGGUAGGGCGGAGGGUGGAGGAGGUUCCUGUGUAGCGGUGAAAAGCGGAGAUAUAGGAAGGAACACCAGUGGUGAAGGCGGCGACCUGGGCUCAUACUGACACUGAGGAGGGAAAGCGUGGGGAGCAAACAGG